ACGAACGCUGGCGGCGUGCUUCACACCUGCCAGUCGAACGGAAAGGCCCUGCUUUUGUGGGGUGCUCGAGUGGCGAACGGGUGAGUAACACGUGAGUAACCUGCCCUUGACUUUGGGAUAACUUCAGGAAACUGGGGCUAAUACCGGAUAGGAGCUCCUGCUGCAUGGUGGGGGUUGGAAAGUUUCGGCGGUUGGGGAUGGACUCGCGGCUUAUCAGCUUGUUGGUGGGGUAGUGGCUUACCAAGGCUUUGACGGGUAGCCGGCCUGAGAGGGUGACCGGCCACAUUGGGACUGAGAUACGGCCCAGACUCCUACGGGAGGCAGCAGUGGGGAAUAUUGCACAAUGGGCGGAAGCCUGAUGCAGCAACGCCGCGUGCGGGAUGACGGCCUUCGGGUUGUAAACCGCUUUCGCCUGUGACGAAGCGUGAGUGACGGUAAUGAGUAAAGAAGCACCGGCUAACUACGUG
rnacentral:rRNA from 1 species